GUUUAAGCUCUAUAGUCUUCUUCGCGUCUGA
rnacentral:sRNA from 1 species